GCUGUGAGCUCGGAUAGAAAAAUGUAUCAACCACCACGAACAGGUUGGUGUAUUGGGGCGGAUUGUUCUGUCCUCUGUAUUUCAGACCAAAGCAAGACAAUGUUUAAAGCUCGCUAUGGAUCUACUAACAGGAUCCAUUUUGAGACGACAGAGCAGAAAACACUAUAUGGAG